rnacentral:rRNA from 2 species
AAAUUGAAGAGUUUGAUCAUGGCUCAGAUUGAACGCUGGCGGCAGGCCUAACACAUGCAAGUCGAGCGGAAACGAGUUAUCUGAACCUUCGGGGAACGAUAACGGCGUCGAGCGGCGGACGGGUGAGUAAUGCCUAGGAAAUUGCCCUGAUGUGGGGGAUAACCAUUGGAAACGAUGGCUAAUACCGCAUGAUGCCUACGGGCCAAAGAGGGGGACCUUCGG